rnacentral:rRNA from 1 species
GAGGGAUAUUGCACAAUGGGCGAAAGCCUGAUGCAGCGACGCCGCGUGAGGGAAGACGGUCCUCUGGAUUGUAAACCUCUGUCCUCAGGGACGAAAAUGACGGUACCUGAGGAGGAAGCUCCGGCUAACUACGUGCCAGCAGCCGCGGUAAUACGUAGGGAGCGAGCGUUGUCCGGAAUUACUGGGUGUAAAGGGAGCGUAGGCGGGAUGGUAAGUCUGUUGUGAAAUCUAUCGGCUCAACCGGUAGCUGCGGCAGAAACUGCGAUUCUUGAGUGAAGUAGAGGCAGGCGGAAUUCCUAGUGUAGCGGUGAAAUGCGUAGAUAUUAGGAGGAACACCAGUGGCGAAGGCGGCCUGCUGGGCUUUUACUGACGCUGAGGCUCGAAAGUGUGGGGAGCAAAC